UAUUCUGCCCUACGGGGAAGGAUGAGAAGCUUCGACCAAGGUUCGACUCGAGCGCAGCGAGAGAACGUUGCCGCAGGCAACGGCCCGAAGGGCGAGGCGCUUUAGCGCCGAGUUAUCCUUCCCCCACUACUG
rnacentral:sRNA from 1 species